AUACGGAAGGUCCGGGCGUUAUCCGGAUUUAUUGGGUUUAAAGGGAGCGCAGGCGGAGAUGCAAGCGUGACGUCAAAUUUCGGGGCUCAACCCCGUCUCGCGUCGCGAACUGCGUCCCUUGGUUGCGGGAAGGGGAGGCGGAACUCGUGGGGUAGCGGUGAAAUGCAUAGAUAUCACGAGGAACUCCGAUUGCGCAGGCAGCUUACUAAACUACUACUGACGCUCAGGCACGAAGGCGUGGGGAUCAAACAGGAUUAGAUACCCUGGUAGUCCACGCAGUAAACGAUGAUUACUAGCUGUUUGCGAUACAAUGUAAGCGGCUGAGCGAAAGCGUUAAGUAAUCCACCUGGGGAGUGCGUUCGCAAGAAUGAAACUCAAAGGAAUUGACGGGG
rnacentral:rRNA from 1 species